UAAGGUUAAGUUAAUAAGGGCGCACGGUGGAUGCCUUGGCACUAGGAGCCGACGAAGGACGUGACAAACGACGAUAUGCCUUGGGUAGCUGUAAGUAAGCGAUGAUCCAGGGAUUUCCGAAUGGGGGAACCCAACAGGUAAGUACCUGUUACCCACAUCUGUUAAGGAUGUGAGGAGGAAGACGCAGUGAACUGAAACAUCUAAGUAGCUGCAGGAAGAGAAAGCAAAAGCGAUUGCCUUAGUAGCGGCGAGCGAAACGGCAGGAGGGCAAACCGAAGAGUUUUACUCUUCGGGGUUGUAGGACUGCAAUGUGGACUCAAAGAUUAUAGAAGAAUGAUUUGGGAAGAUCAGCCAAAGAGAGUAAUAGCCUCGUAUUUAAAAUAGUCUUUGUACCUAGCAGUAUCCUGAGUACGGCGGGACACGUGAAAUCCCGUCGGAAUCUGGGAGGACCAUCUCCCAACCCUAAAUACUCCCUAGUGACCGAUAGUGAACCAGUACCGUGAGGGAAAGGUGAAAAGCACCCCGGGAGGGGAGUGAAAUAGAACCUGAAACCGUGUGCCUACAACAAGUUCGAGCCCGUUAAUGGGUGAGAGCGUGCCUUUUGUAGAAUGAACCGGCGAGUUUACGUUAUGAUGCGAGGUUAAGUUGAAGAGACGGAGCCGUAGGGAAACCGAGUCUGAAUAGGGCGCCUUAGUAUCAUGACGUAGACCCGAAACCAUGUGGACCUACCCAUGAGCAGGUUGAAGGUGCGGUAAGACGCACUGGAGGACCGAACCAGGGCACGUUGAAAAGUGCUUGGAUGACUUGUGGGUAGCGGAGAAAUUCCAAACGAACUUGGAGAUAGCUGGUUCUCUCCGAAAUAGCUUUAGGGCUAGCGUCGACAUUAGAGAUUCUUGGAGGUAGAGCACUGUUUGGGUGAGGGGUCCAUCCCGGAUUACCAAUCUCAGAUAAACUCCGAAUGCCAAUGAAUUAUGGUCGGCAGUCAGACUGCGAGUGCUAAGAUCCGUAGUCGAAAGGGAAACAGCCCAGACCACCAGCUAAGGUCCCAAAAUAAUUGUUAAGUGGAAAAGGAUGUGGGGUUGCACAGACAACUAGGAUGUUAGCUUAGAAGCAGCUAUUCAUUCAAAGAGUGCGUAAUAGCUCACUAGUCGAGUGACCCUGCGCCGAAAAUGUACCGGGGCUAAAACAAUUUACCGAAGCUGUGGAUACCUUUAUAGGUAUGGUAGGAGAGCGUUCUAUGUGUGAUGAAGGUAUACCGUGAGGAGUGCUGGAACGCAUAGAAGUGAGAAUGCCGGUAUGAGUAGCGAAAGACAGGUGGAGAAUCCUGUCCACCGUAAGACUAAGGUUUCCAGGGGAAGGCUCGUCCGCCCUGG
rnacentral:rRNA from 1 species